rnacentral:rRNA from 1 species
AAUGGGCGCAAGCCUGAUCCAGCCAUGCCGCGUGAGCGAUGAAGGCCCUAGGGUCGUAAAGCUCUUUCGCCUGUGAAGAUAAUGACGGUAGCAGGUAAAGAAACCCCGGCUAACUCCGUGCCAGCAGCCGCGGUAAUACGGAGGGGGUUAGCGUUGUUCGGAAUUACUGGGCGUAAAGCGCGCGUAGGCGGAUUAGUAAGUCAGAGGUGAAAUCCCAGGGCUCAACCCUGGAACUGCCUUUGAUACUGCUAGUCUUGAGUUCGAGAGAGGUAAGUGGAAUUCCGAGUGUAGAGGUGAAAUUCGUAGAUAUUCGGAGGAACACCAGUGGCGAAGGCGGCUUACUGGCUCGAUACUGACGCUGAGGUGCGAAAGUGUGGGGAGCAAACAGGAUU